CCUUCUAGUGCCCAAUACUCGAGUAUUAUUAUUUGGGUGGUUAUCACUUGCACUAAAAUAGACUUCAUUCUCUCUUAGCCUUGCCUUGCAAAAACCUUGUGGCCCCCAAAACAUGGUAUCUAUCCCUCAAAAAGAAGCCCAUGGAUUACUCUCAAGUCUUACCUUACAUGAAAGAAGUUGAAAAUGACAUGCUAAAUGACUCUUAUUUAUAUACCUUGUCAAUGGAACACAGUUUGAAUCAGAGUGACAGGAGAAGGCCUGAAGAGAGAGAGAGAGUAGAAGGCUAGUGAUAAAGAACAGAGAUGGAGGCUGGGGGAGCAAGAAGACAGAUCAUGGUCGCACUCGAACCUUCGGAGGAGAGCACAUAUGCCCUAGAAUGGGCUCUAGAGUACCUCGUCAUAUCGCCCGAUUCUGAUCACUUGAUCCUUUUGUAUGUUGCACCUGAAUCUCUUCAUAACACCAUGAUCACUGGGAAAGAGGUUUCAUUUUCAAGCCAUGUCUUGAGUGUUUUGGAGAAGAACAAGAAGCAAACAGCUCACAGAGUAAUCGAGCUCGCUAAGACCAUGUGUGAGAAAUAUAAUGUUACAUACGAAACGAAAGUGAUGGUGGGAGAAGCAAAAUUUGUGAUAUGUGAUGCUGCCAAGAAACUCAAUGUUGAUCUUUUGGUUGUGGGGGGACAUGAUUUUGGAGCAAUAAAGAGUGUCAAACUUCAAUAUGUUAGAUUUCGUUAGAUUUCACAUCCAUUGGUUAGGAGUGAUGGUAACAUCUUCACGCCAAAAGGAAAUACUCUUAUGGUUUUUUAUUGGGAGUAACUUGGGGGAGUACUGUAUAAAUCAUGCGAAAUGCCCCGUGGCUUUGGUCAAGAGACGUGGAAAGCGCACCUAAUCUCAAUAAUGUAUAAAUAACGCCUUGUGUAAUUUAUUGAUCAAUCAAAUUAACAUGCAUCUCCCUCUCUCUCUAGCUAUCUCUCUCUCAAUCAUUAAAGAAAGAUGCUUUGAUAGGCUGCAGCUCUAUCACAAUAAGUAAAGCUUCACCU